rfam:Glycine max cultivar Williams 82 chromosome 16, whole genome shotgun sequence.
UUUUUAUUGGACGUUGAUCGCCAUGUGUUGCGUGUUUAUUGGACGUUAAUUUCAUGCACCUAAUUAACGUCAACCUCCAAUAAAAUCGCAACAUGUGGCGGUCAACUUCC